CGUCGGCAAAUCCCUUCCCCCGACCUAGGUUGUCCUGCCCACGAGAUGGAGAUGUGUGUAUCGGUGUAAAGAAGUCCGUGGGGCAACCGGAUCCACCCUUCCGGUCCCGAGUGAGGCUGCUCAUAUCUAAACUGGACUAGAGAGCGAGUCCUUGCUUUAGCCUCGAGUUGAAAUACCUGAAGGGAAGGGCGAGAGGCCACAGGAGACAUUUCCCCGAGCGGCCGUGUGAAUAACAAAGCCAAUAUGUGCAAGAACUGAGCUGCUGGUCCUCAGGUUGUUCUCAGGGAGAAUUGCUCUAUACAUAGAUGCAGCCUUGGUGUGACCAUGGGAGGAGCUCUUGAAUGUGGGUCUAGCUGAUGAACUGUACCAGUAUCUUCUGCUGCUGCUAAGCCUGGUAACAAGAUGAAGAAAUGUCGGUAUCUUUUUUUUUUUUUAAAGAUUUUAUUUAUUCGACAGAGAUAGAGACAGCCAGCGAGAGAGGGAACACAAGCAGGGGGAGUGGGAGAGGAAGAAGCAGGCUCAUAGCAGAGGAGCAUGAUGUGGGGCUCGAUCCCAUAACGCUGGGAUGAUGCCCUGAGCUGAAGGCAGACGCUUAACCGCUGUGCCACCCAGGCGCCCCAGAAAUGUCAGUAUCUUGACAGCAGACCAUCAGUGUCCAGCUGCCUCUGCUUCCGACAAUCUAGGGACAGUGUUGUCCUGGUUGUGGGGGAAGCUGAACGUGAUAAAAGCUUCCAGAGUCUAAAGUAAAUAUUCAAUAGGAGCAGGUUGGAUUUUAAAACAGGUUUCCCUCAAAGAUAUCUAAGGGGUUAUUCAUCUUCGGAAACCUCUUGAGAGUUACAAAGAUGACCUGACAAGGAAGUCCUGGGCAUUGUGGCUUCUUACUAGAACAUAAGAGUUGCUGACGCCCCGAAUACUGCCUUGAUAUUUUAGCCUGUAGAGUUAAGGAAAAUUUAGACAAACUGGGUCUAAAUUCACUAAAACUCAAGACUACCAGAUCUGUAUCCCAUUUCCACGACUGCACUCAUAUACAUACCAUGGGACAAAGCUAACUAACUCAUCCUGGAUUUUGGUUUUCACCAAUACUCUCUUAAGAUAACUUAUGAUUUUCUCUGGUCUCAAAUGGUAGUCUUUUGACCUACAAAUUAGACAUUACUGCCUGAACAAGUGAAAAACUAUUUCAAAUUAACACAGGUAAGAAUCUGGCCUAAACUGAAAGCCUCUCCACCAACACCAAAUUCCAUAAAACCCAUCUCUUCUAAAUAGUACCAUCGAAAAACAUAUCCUUAGAAAUUCCUUGAGAAUAUUCACUCAUGAAGUUCGAUUUGUGCCAUAUCUGUAAGGUAUGUUUGUAUGCAAUUCUUCUCUAACCUUUUCACCCUUCUUAACUCAGUGAAACUUUUUUCAAAAUUGUUAUUUCCCAGGUUUUAGCAUGAAAAUUCUCACUUGCUUCAAUUUUUAGACAAAUGUCCAGUUUCCUCCAACCCUCCACUAUAAUGUAUUUUAAGCAAUGUUUUCAGGCUAACACAUGAAAGUAUUUCAGAAAAUUAAAAGGUAGGGCUGCCACUGUCUACAGUGCUUUACUACAGACUAAAACAACAACAGGAGAACCAGGCACUUGGACUUUAAAUUGAUCUCCCUGUGGGGCACCUGGGUGGCUCAGUCAGUUGAGUCUAUUGGUUGAAUCUUGGUCAUGAUCUCAGGGUUGUGAGAUGGAGCCGGUGUUGGGCUCCAAACUCAGUGGGGAUUCUGCU